rnacentral:rRNA from 1 species
GACGAACGCUGGCGGCGCGCCUAAUACAUGCAAGUUGAGCGCUGAAGGUUGGUACUUGUACCAAAUGGAUGAGCAGCGAACGGGUGAGUAACGCGUGGGGAAUCUGCCUUUGAGCGGGGGACAACAUUUGGAAACGAAUGCUAAUACCGCAUAAAAACUUUAAACACAAGUUUUAAGUUUGAAAGAUGCAAUUGCAUCACUCAAAGAUGAUCCCGCGUUGUAUUAGCUAGUUGGUGAGGUAAAGGCUCACCAAGGCGAUGAUACAUAGCCGACCUGAGAGGGUGAUAGGCCACAUUGGGACUGAGACACGGCCCAAACUCCUUCUGGAGGCAGCAGUAGGGAAUCGUCGGCAAUGGACGAAAGUCUGACCGAGCAACGCUGCGUGAGUGAAGAAGGUUUUCGGAUCGUAAAACUCUGUUGGUAGAGAAGAGCGUUGGUGAGGGUGGAAAGCUCAUCAAGUGACGGUAACUACCCAGAAAGGGACGGCUAACUACGUA